rnacentral:lncRNA from 1 species
UAGCUGAAACACCAGAAGUUGGAAAACAACACAAGAAAGCCAUGAAACUUUCAGCCUGUGUGUUGCUGUCCAUGGCCAACGACUGAACCCCUGCAGUGGACCCUGCGGUGAAGAGAACAGCUCCUGCAUAAGUCCUCCCCUCCCUUCUCCUCAGCUCUCCCAGACAUUCCUUCCACCUGUGGCCAAUGUGGAGCAUGCCUCUCUGCUGACAUGUCUUCGUCAGAUGAUCCUCACAUUUGGUGUCCACUCACAUUCACCAAUUUAUUUCUGCCUCAGCAGCCUUAAGUUUGGUCAGCCUUACCAUGUUGCAGGCCCUGAACCAGGAAGUUGGGGUCUGGUGGCCCUGCUGCCAGUUUGGAGGAAGGGUAUUCCCCUGGGAGAAUUCUGAGCUCAGAGGGUCCUCCAGAGUUGUCAAGGGGCUGGAGGAGGUUUCUCCUGGUGGCCCGAGGGUACCUCCAAGGCCCAGAGGCAGAUGCAACUGAGGGGAAGGCCAUGCUCAGAAGGCCAUGGUCCAUGCAGGAGGUGGAACUAGAGGAGCACCCAGGAAGAAGGAAGAAGUGGAAGGACGCGCUGGGAGAAGGUGAAGUUGCGGUCUCAUCAUGUGUUGAAAGUAUGAUUUCACUAUGGAGGCAGCGGGAGCCCCUGAAGGAGUAAUCUUUUUGCUCCUUUAAACAUGCACAUGGCACAAAAGUCAAAGCAUGCAGAGGGUAUGCUGAACAGUGAGUCUCCCCCACCCUGUCUGCACACCCUCUGGGCCCCUUUCUAGAGGUGCUGCUGUGCCCUGUGUGUCUGUGUGGAGCUCUUCC